GUUGUUGCCCUAGCAGGUUAAUAUUCCUGCACCGUCGUAUGAUGCGAUGGGGGGACGGAUCGCGGAAGGUCGUCAGGCGGUUGGAAGAGCCUGUUCUUGACUUGUAGAAGGUACUUAGGAAAAUCCGGGUACAUAAUUCAAGGGGUUGAGACGAGUGAAUUUAUUCACGAAGCGAUCGGAAGUGGUUCCAAGAAAAGCCUCUAAGCUUCAGUCAUACGAGACCGUACCGCAAACCGACACAGGUGGGCGAGAUGAGCAUUCUAAGGCGCUUGAGAGAACUCGGGAGAAGGAACUCGGCAAAUUGGUACCGUAACUUCGGGAUAAGGUACGCCCUUGUAGUUUGACCCCCCUGCGGGGGAAGGACGAAAGGGUUGCAAUAAACUGGUGGCUGCAACUGUUUAAUAAAAACACAGCACUAUGCAAACACGAAAGUGGACGUAUAUGGUGUGACUCCUGCCCGGUGCUGGAAGAUUAAAUGAUGGGGUGCAAGCUCUUGAUUGAAGUCCCAGUAAACGGCGGCCGUAACAAUAACGGUCCUAAGGUAGCGAAAUUCCUUGUCGGGUAAGUUCCGACCUGCACGAAUGGAGUAAUGAUGGCCACACUGUCUCCUCCCGAGACUCAGCGAAGUUGAAAUGUUUGUGAUGAUGCAAUCUACCCGCGGCUAGACGGAAAGACCCCAUGAACCUUUACUGUAGCUUUGCAUUGGACUUUGAACCAAUCUGUGUAGGAUAGGUGGGAGGCUUUGAAGCGGGGACGCCAGUUCUCGUGGAGCCAUCCUUGAAAUACCACCCUGGUUUGUUUGAGGUUCUAACCUUGGCCCAUUAUCUGGGUCGGGGACAGUGCAUGGUAGGCAGUUUGACUGGGGCGGUCUCCUCCCAAAGUGUAACGGAGGAGUUCGAAGGUACGCUAGUUACGGUCGGACAUCGUGACGAUAGUGCAAUGGCAUAAGCGUGCUUAACUGCGAGACUGACAAGUCGAGCAGGUACGAAAGUAGGACAUAGUGAUCCGGUGGUUCUGUAUGGAAGGGCCAUCGCUCAACGGAUAAAAGGUACUCUGGGGAUAACAGGCUGAUUCCUCCCAAGAGUUCAUAUCGACGGGGGAGUUUGGCACCUCGAUGUCGGCUCAUCACAUCCUGGGGCUGUAGCCGGUCCCAAGGGUAUGGCUGUUCGCCAUUUAAAGUGGUACGUGAGCUGGGUUUAAAACGUCGUGAGACAGUUUGGUCCCUAUCUGCCGUGGGCGUUGGAAGUUUGAAGGGGGCUGCUCCUAGUACGAGAGGACCGGAGUGGACGAACCUCUGGUGUAUCGGUUGUCACGCCAGUGGCAUUGCCGAGUAGCUAUGUUCGGAAGAGAUAACCGCUGAAAGCAUCUAAGCGGGAAACUCGCCUUAAGAUGAGACUUCCCAGAGACUUGAUCUCUUUAAAGGGUCGUUCGAGACCAGGACGUUGAUAGGCUGGGUGUGGAAGU
rnacentral:rRNA from 1 species